GACGAACGCUGGCGGCGUGCUUAACACAUGCAAGUCGAACGGAAAGGCCCUGCUUUUGUGGGGUGCUCGAGUGGCGAACGGGUGAGUAACACGUGAGUAACCUGCCCUUGACUUUGGGAUAACUUCAGGAAACUGGGGCUAAUACCGGAUAGGAGCUCCUGCUGCAUGGUGGGGGUUGGAAAGUUUCGGCGGUUGGGGAUGGACUCGCGGCUUAUCAGCUUGUUGGUGGGGUAGUGGCUUACCAAGGCUUUGACGGGUAGCCGGCCUGAGAGGGUGACCGGCCACAUUGGGACUGAGGUACGGCCCAGACUCCUACGGGAGGCAGGAGUGGGGAAUAUUGCAAAAUGGGCGGAAGCCUGAUGCAGCCACGCCGGGUGCGGGAUGACGGCCUUCGGGUUGUAAACCGCUUUCGCCUGUGACGAAGCGUGAGUGACGGUAAUGGGUAAAGAAGCCCCGGCUAACUACGUG
rnacentral:rRNA from 1 species